rnacentral:lncRNA from 1 species
UCAGUUUUUUGAAGUUGUUACUGGAAUUCAGCUUUUAUGAGAACUCUUUCCAAGGACGUUUGUGUUGCAAGGCUGGAUGGAGACAUUUAUAUUAAGCACAGAACCUAUUUUGUAAGCAGAUAGUAGUAACUUCUACGAAUGAACGAAACGAGAAAAUACAGAAAAAUAAUUCACAACUUAAUUGAGGACAUAAAAUAAAAGAAAACUAUACUGACAAGUUAACUCACAACCAAACUACUUUACAAAUUUUCUUCAAAAGCAAACUUAAUGUUCCUAACACAUUUUAUUAACAAGAAUGAAUGACAGUACGGUUGACAUCUUGAAGCAGAUAUUUUUUUGAAACGAAUACAACUUAUUAUCACAUGCGAAAACUAACAUGAACGUCGUCUUCGGAAUUAAAGGAACCAAAAAAAAAAAGCAGUUUACAAAAUUAACUAUAAAUAAUUUGUAAAAAAAAAAACAAAACGGGAGGGCGAGCAAAUCAUACAAAGGGGAGCACACAUUGAAAAGAGCAAGAAAAAAAGACAAAAUUCUCUCUCACUUCUCGUAAAACAAUAUCAAUUUUAAGCGGUGGAAAAUAAAUACAACGGAAGCAGGAAAGACGGGAAAGGGGAAUUUUAGGGAAAAACUAUAAUUAAAAAAUAGCAUAUGCGAGAUUAAGGGAAGAAACAGCCAACCUAAAUAGCCGGAGCUUGAGCCUCAGAUUCAGCUCUAUACUCCUCUUCCUUUUGAGCCUCAUUUUGAGCUCUGUGUUCUUGCUCCUUUUCGUUGGAUGCGGAAUCGCUAACAGUUGGAGAAGUGUAUUGAACGCCACUUGUAGUGAUUGGGGGAGGCUCGUCAGUAGAGUCUUUGUAAUAAUAUGCACUUUCACCAAGUUCAAUCUUAUCCAAACCGAGAACCUCAUCCUCGCGUGAAACACGAAGUGAAAGUCCUGGAAUGUAAUUCAUAACAAACAAGAGUGCACAUGAGACAGCGAAUGAAUAUGCGGCACAAGAGACAGUGUCUGCAAGCUGAUAACCAAGUUGAAUGUAAUGGUGAGUAAUCCAACCACCAGUGUAAGCAGUACCACUACCAUCCAAAGCUUCAAUGUAAUCAGCGGCAAAAAGAGCGGUAAGGAUAUUGCCAACCAUACCACCAACACCAUGUUCAGCAAAGAUAUCCAAGGCAUCAUCGACACGGAUGAUUUUCUUAAGGUAAGUAGCAGCAUAGCAGAAGACAGCGCCUAAAGCACCAAUGACGACGGCAGCCCAUGGAGGAACGAAACCGGAGCCAGGAGUAAUGGCGACCAAACCAGCGACGGCACCUUCACAGAAGCCGACGACAGACCAGUGACGGUUCUUGGCAAAAUCGAUAACACACCAAACAAUACCACCAACAGAAGCAGCAAGAUGUGUAACGACGACAGCCAUGACACCACGCAUGUUGGCAGCAGCGGAAGAACCACCGUUAAAGCCGAACCAACCAAACCACAAAAAUACGGUGCCAAGAACGACGUGGGGAACGUUGUGUGGGCGAUAUUUGGUAGUACCAUGGUCACAACGCUUUCCAAUUACGAUGGAAUAAGCCAAAGCAGCCAUACCGGAGGAGAUGUGAACGGGAGAGCCACCAGCGAAAUCGUAAGAGCCCAACUUGUUCAACCAACCAUUAGGAUUCCAAGUCCAAAAGGCGAUUGGGUCGUAGACGAUGGAAGUCCAGAGAAACAUGAAGACCAUACAGGGAAACAUGCGACCGCGAUCAGCGGCAGCACCGAUAGCCAAAGCGGGAGUAAUGGCGGCAAACAUACCUUGGAACACGCAAAACAAGAUGUCGGGUACACUGGAAGCACCGGAAGAAGGUCUACCCAACGUUUGGCGAAGACCGAAAUUGGCGAGGGAUCCGAUGUAUGGACCACCCUCGUGAGAGAAAGUAAGCGAAUAACCCCAAAAGAACCACUGAAAGGCAACAAUGGCGACAGACAUCAUUGACAAAAACAGCAUAGAAAUGGCACUUCUACGACGAGCCAAGCCGGAGUAAAAGAAACCGACACCGGGAAUCAUGAUAAACACCAAAGCGGUACUUGUGAGAAUCCAGGCAACAUCACCAUUAUUGUAAAAUUGAUUAAGAUUGACGGUCAUGGAAUCACCGCCAUUGACACCCGAAGGGGUGGGAGUGGCAUCGGUAGUGGAAGACAUGAUUCAAGAAGUCUUGUCUAUCUAUUAAGAAAUGAAGAGAGACCAACACAACCCAAAAUAAAGGGGAUUAAAAAAAUUACAAACAAAAGAGGUUUGUUGGCGAAAAGAAGAAAAGUAAAAGUAAAAUAAAAUAGUAUCGAGACUAAUAAGGUAUGUAUAAAUGGAAGGAAUUUUUCUAUAGAGACAAAAAAAAAAAAACACCUAGGAAAUCAAGGACCCAAACGAUAAAAAGAAAACACAACAAAUUAUAUAUAUAUCGAACGACCAAGAAGAAAUUAGGGGAUCGAUAUUUGAAUAUUGGGGAGAAAAGAAGAAGAAAAACACUCGAAAAGAAGAAA